rnacentral:rRNA from 1 species
UCCGUAGGCGGUGUGGCUAAGUCGGUAGUGAAAUCUCUCGGCUUAACUGAGAGGCUGCUGCCGAAACUGCCAUGCUCGAGUGCGAGAGAGGCGAGUGGAAUUGCGGGUGUAGCGGUGAAAUGCGUAGAUAUCCGCAGGAACAUCCGAGGCGAAAGCGGCUCGCUGGAUCGCAACUGACGCUGAGGGACGAAAGCUAGGGGAGCAAACAGGAUUAGAUACCCUGGUAGUCCUAGCCCUAAACCAUCAGGACUUGGGGUUUGCCCUGUACGGGGCAAGUCCCGGAGCUAACGCGUUAAGUCCUGCGCCUGGGGAGUACGGUCGCAAGGCUGAA